rnacentral:rRNA from 1 species
AAUGAACGCUGGCGGAAUGCUUUACACAUGCAAGUCGAACGGCAGCACGGACUUCGGUCUGGUGGCGAGUGGCGAACGGGUGAGUAAUGUAUCGGAACGUGCCCAGUCGUGGGGGAUAACGUAGUGAAAAUUACGCUAAUACCGCAUACGAUCUAUGAUGAAAGCGGGGGAUCGCGAGACCUCACGCGAUUGGAGCGGCCGAUAUCAGAUUAGGUAGUUGGUGGGGUAAAGGCCCACCAAGCCAACGAUCUGUAGCUGGUCUGAGAGGACGACCUGCCACACUGGAACUGAGACACGGUCCAGACUCCUACGGGAGGCAGCAGUGGGGAAUUUUGGACAAUGGGCGAAAGCCUGAUCCAGCCAUUCCGCGUGCAGGAUGAAGGCCCUCGGGUUGUAAACUGCUUUUGUACAGAACGAAAAGGUUUCUACUAAUACUAGGAGCUCAUGACGGUACUGUAAGAAUAAGCACCGGCUAACUACGUGCCAGCCGCCGCCGUAA